rnacentral:rRNA from 1 species
UGGGGGAUAUUGCACAAUGGGCGAAAGCCUGAUGCAGCGACGCCGCGUGGGGGAUGAAGGCUUUCGGGUUGUAAACCUCUUUCGCUAUCGAACAAAGCCCGCUUAGGGUGGGUUGAGGGUAGGUGGAGAAGAAGCGCCGGCUAACUACGUGCCAGCAGCCGCGGUAAUACGUAGGGCGCGAGCGUUGUCCGGAAUUAUUGGGCGUAAAGGGCUUGUAGGCGGCUUGUUGCGCCUGCUGUGAAAACGCGGGGCUUAACUUCGCGCGUGCAGUGGGUACGGGCAGGCUUGAGUGUGGUAGGGGUGACUGGAAUUCCAGGUGUAGCGGUGGAAUGCGCAGAUAUCUGGAGGAACACCGAUGGCGAAGGCAGGUCACUGGGCCAUUACUGACGCUGAGGAGCGAAAGCAUGGGUAGCGAACAGG